rnacentral:rRNA from 1 species
CCUACGGGGGGCUGCAGUGGGGAAUAUUGCACAAUGGGCGCAAGCCUGAUGCAGCCAUGCCGCGUGUGUGAAGAAGGCCUUCGGGUUGUAAAGCACUUUCAGCGGGGAGGAAGGCGGUGAGGUUAAUAACCCCAUCGAUUGACGUUACCCGCAGAAGAAGCACCGGCUAACUCCGUGCCAGCAGCCGCGGUAAUACGGAGGGUGCAAGCGUUAAUCGGAAUUACUGGGCGUAAAGCGCACGCAGGCGGUCUGUCAAGUCGGAUGUGAAAUCCCCGGGCUCAACCUGGGAACUGCAUUCGAAACUGGCAGGCUAGAGUCUUGCAGAGGGGGGUAGAAUUCCAGGUGUAGCGGUGAAAUGCGUAGAGAUCUGGAGGAAUACCGGUGGCGAAGGCGGCCCCCUGGACAAAGACUGACGCUCAGGUGCGAAAGCGUGGGGAGCAAACAGGAUUAGAUACCCCGGUAGUC